rnacentral:tRNA from 1 species
GGGCGGUUAACUCAGUGGUAGAGUGUCUGCUUUACACGCAGAAGGUCGCGGGUUCGAAUCCCUCACCGCCCA